rnacentral:ncRNA from 1 species
GGGAAUCCGGUGCGAAUCCGGAACUGUCCCGCAACGGUGUACUUGGUGCGCUUUCGCGCACCCGUGAGUCCGAUGACC